rnacentral:rRNA from 1 species
GACGAACGCUGGCGGCGUGCCUAAUACAUGCAAGUCGAACGCUGAAGGAGGAGCUUGCUUCUCUGGAUGAGUUGCGAACGGGUAAGUAACGCGUAGGUAACCUGCCUGGUAGCGGGGGAUAACUAUUGGAAACGAUAGCUAAUACCGCAUAAGAGUAGAUGUUGCAUGACAUUUGCUUAAAAGUUGCAAUUGCAUCACUACCAGAUGGACCUGCGUUGUAUUAGCUAGUUGGUGGGGUAACGGCUCACCAAGGCGACGAUCCAUCGCCGACCUGAGAGGGAGAUAGGCCACACUGGGAAUGAGACACGGCCCAGACUCCUACGGGAGGCAGCAGUAGGGAAGCAUCGGAAAUGGACGGAAAGCUGACCGAGCAACGACGCGUGAGGGAAGAAGGGUGUCGGAGCGUAAAGCUCUGUUGUAAGAGAAGAACGAGAGUGAGAGUGGAAAGUUCACACUGUGACGGUAUCUUAACAGAAAGGGACGGCUAACUACGUG